CCCACAGCCCUCACCCGCCUGCUGACCUUCACCAUCCUGGCCGGGCUGCUGGUGGCCCUCGUCUGCGUGGCCACCCUGGGCCUGCUGGCUGUGAAGUUGUGGCCCAGGAUCAGGAGGUUUCGGGGCCGGUUGGGUGCCGAGGACACUUUGGAGCUGAGGAGCAAACAGGAGCCAGCACAGGUGGAUGGAGCAUCUUAACCUGGUGGCCCUUGGACCCGGGAGCAUCUGUGGUGGCUGGUGCUGGAAUUCCACGGUCCUGGCCUGGCUGGAUCCAGGUAGCCCCCCCCUGGGGACCCCCAGCCCUAUUCCAGCCCCUGCCAGCCCCAUUCCAGCCCCUGGAUGUUGUUCCCCCCCAGUGGACGUUGUUCUCACGUGGGGCACGGUUUGGGCUCACCACGUCACGUGCCAGGCUGUGCCAGCUGUGACUGCUCAGAGCUGUGAAAUCCUGGAAAGAUAAUA